rnacentral:tmRNA from 1 species
GGGGUAGUAAUGGUUUCGACUAUAAUUGAAUAUAAAAAUAAGCAAGUAGUGGUCAGACAGGACACUUAAAAAGUCUGGAAAAGAAUAAGAGCAAGGCAAGAAAAGUUAUUAAUCGCUGCUUAGUUGAAUAAGCUUAUGUAGUUUUCAUGUGAUUCACCUCCUUUCUUUUGAAAGAUGUAAUUAUAUAGAUAAACAAUUUGAUGGUUGUAAAAUUGUUUUUUCGGAACAACCAGUUAAAUAAAGUUUUGUUUGUUUUACUAUUAUUUAACUUACUAUUUUUAAAAUAAACUAAACUUGUAGAAAAUUUUUAUUGAAAAUUAUGGGACAGGAGUUCAAUUCUCCUCUACUCCACCA